GCAAUUUUAAAAAGGCCAAAAGAAAGGAACUACAUAGAGAAGCCAGUAUAGCACGCAGAAGGAAACACACGCUUUGGAAAAUUGUUUUUACCGUGGUUG